rnacentral:rRNA from 1 species
AUUGAACGCUGGCGGCAGGCCUAACACAUGCAAGUCGAACGAGUGGCGGACGGGUGAGUAAUGUCUGGGAAACUGCCUGAUGGAGGGGGAUAACUACUGGAAACGGUAGCUAAUACCGCAUACCAUCGGAUGAGCCCAUAUGGGAUUAGCUAGUAGGUGAGGUAACGGGUCACCUAGGCGACGAUCCCUAGCUGGUCUGAGAGGAUGACAAGCCACACUGGAACUGAGACACGGACCAGAAUCCAAAGAGAGGCAGCAGAGGGGAAGAGUGCAAAAUGGGCGAAAGCCUGAUGCAGCCAAGCCGCGUGUAUGAAGAAGGCCUUCGGGUUGUAAAGUACUUUCAGCGGGGAGGCGUUACCCGCAGAAGAAGCACCGGCUAACUCCGUGCCAGCAGCCGCGGUAAUUC